GACGAACGCUGGCGGCGUGCUUAACACAUGCAAGUCGAGCGGUAAGGCUCUUUCGGGGGUACACGAGCGGCGAACGGGUGAGUAACACGUGGGUGACCUGCCCUUAGCUCUGGGAUAAGCCUGGGAAACGUGGGUCUAAUACCGGAUAUGACUCCAUGACGCGAUGUUGUGGGGUGGAAAGCCUUGUGCGGCUAGGGAUGGGCCUGCGGCCUAUCAGCUUGUUGGUGGGGUGAUGGCCUACCAAGGCGACGACGGGUAGCCGGCCUGAGAGGGCGACCGGCCACACUGGGACUGAGACACGGCCCAGACUCCUACGGGAGGCAGCAGUGGGGAAUCUUGCGCAAUGGGCGAAAGCCUGACGCAGCGACGCCGCGUGGGGAUGACGGCCU
rnacentral:rRNA from 1 species